UCCUUAGUAGCUCAGAUGGUAAAGCACCUGCCUGAAAUGCAGGAGGCCUGGGUUGAAUCCCUGGGUCAGGAA
rnacentral:tRNA from 1 species